rnacentral:rRNA from 1 species
UGCAUAUCAAUAAGCGGAGGAAAAGAAACCAACAGGGAUUGCUCUAGUAACGGCGAGUGAAGCAGCAAUAGCUCAAAUUUGAAAUCUGGCGUCUUCGACGUCCGAGUUGUAAUUUGUAGAGGAUGCUUCUGAGUAACCACCGACCUAAGUUCCUUGGAACAGGACGUCAUAGAGGGUGAGAAUCCCGUAUGCGGUCGGAAAGGUGCUCUAUACGUAGCUCCUUCGACGAGUCGAGUUGUUUGGGAAUGCAGCUCUAAAUGGGAGGUAAAUUUCUUCUAAAGCUAAAUAUUGGCCAGAGACCGAUAGCGCACAAGUAGAGUGAUCGAAAGAUGAAAAGCACUUUGGAAAGAGAGUUAAAAAGCACGUGAAAUUGUUAAAAGGGAAGGGAUUGCAACCAGACUUGCUCGCGGUGUUCCGCCGGUCUUCUGACCGGUCUACUCGCCGCGUUGCAGGCCAGCAUCGUCUGGUGCCGCUGGAUAAGACUUGAGGAAUGUAGCUCCCUCGGGAGUGUUAUAGCCUCUUGUGAUGCAGCGAGCGCCGGGCGAGGUCCGCGCUUCGGCUAGGAUGCUGGCGUAAUGGUCGUAAUCCGCCCGUCUUGAAACACGG